rnacentral:rRNA from 1 species
UACAGAGGUGGCAAGCGGUGUUCGGAAUUACUGGGCGUAAAGGGCGCGUAGGCGGCCCGCCAAGUCCCGUGUGAAAGCCCCCGGCUCAACCGGGGAACGGCGCGGGAAACUAGCAGGCUUGAGUUCGGGAGAGGGAAGCGGAAUUCCGGGUGUAGCGGUGAAAUGCGCAGAUAUCCGGAGGAACACCGGUGGCGAAGGCGGCGCCCUGGACCGGCACUGACGCUGAGGCGCGAAAGCGUGGGGAGCAAACAGG